ACCGAACAAGUACUAAUAAGAUUUAGUGUCAGGAAGCUUCCACCGGAUGUGUUGCUACUCCCGGUGUUUGGCGGCGCUCAAUCACCAAAGGUUCUGACACCACGUUGGACUCCCCUUCCUCCUCGUCCGCGACCUCCGCAGGGUGGCUGUUGCACUUGCACCUGCACCGUAGUGGGGAUUCCAGCUUCCACCACUGCCCCCCGUCCCCGUCCCGGCGCCGGCAGUAGCUCGGAGGCCGGGACCACGCUCGGUGGCGUGUCGUACGUCAGCACGCCCAUCCCGACGACGACGCGUUCGAUUCAGGCGGCGACAAAUACCUGCUGGCCAAGACCUAUUUCGACUGCCGGGAGUACCGCCGCGCCGAGCACGUGCUGCAGAACCAGGUCGGUCGUAAGGCUGUGUUCCUGCGAUGCUACGCCUUCUGCAUGAGUGCAUGUCUGGAGGGAAGCGGAAAAUGCUGUUAAUCAGGAACUAGUUGCUUUGGAGAAAGAGCUCUCAACACACCGAAGAACUGGCUCUAUUGAUUCGUUUGGACUUUACUUGUAUGGCAUUGUCCUACAUGAUAAAGGAUGUGAAGGUCUAACUCGAAAGAUCUUGGUAGAACCUGUCAAUAGCUAUCCUUGGAACUGGAGUGCUUGGUCAGAGCUACAAACUUUAUGCACCAGCAGUGACAUUUUAAACAAAUUAAAUCUGAAGAAUCGCUGGAUGAAAGACUUCUUUCUUGCUAGUGCAUAUCUGGAACUAGAGACGCAUGAAGAAGACUUCUUUCUUGCUAGUGCAGAUUCUUUCUUUGGCUUGUCUUGCACAAUAGAUGCUGGACCGCAGACCGUCUUGCUAAAAGAGGACUUUCCCAUCCCAGUGCGUGUCCCCUUUGUGACCAAGAAGAGGAAACAAUACAACAUCUUUUCAUCUCUUGCGUCUUUGCAAGACAGUUCUGGUACUUCUUGUUGAGCAGGUCUGGGUUGCCUAAUCUUUCACCGGACAACGCUUUUUGCAGCCUAGAUGACUGGUGGAGCAGGGCUGUGGAGAAGAUUCCCCGUGAUCUCCAAUCAGGAGAAGGAGACUGCUAAAAAUAUAUUGCAAGGGAUAAAAAUGUUACAGUCAGGAUUUCCAUCAAUGGAUAUUGACCAUUUUGCACUGUAAAGUCCACCCGCAGAUAAGUUGGAACAUUGGACAGUAAGUGUCAAGAAGUCAAUAGCCAAAAAGCCAACAGCCGGAAGUCAAAAGCUAGCUUCGAGCCAAAAUCCCAAAACUGCAGUACAAACAAACAGGCCCUGAAGGGAAUGAUUCUAACGAGGGCUGCCCAACUGAUGGAAGCUCAAUUGCACAUCUCGAUCGGGAAUUACUUCCAAUCUUCGGUCACAGGCUCACAGCGUGAUGCUUAUUGUUUGUAUCCUCGUCACGAGACUCCAUGCUGCUGGAUACGAUGACCUACCGCGCAUGAUGCUGGCUCGUAGUUCCUGGAGCUUGGCAACAAGGAGAACCAGGCGCCUACAUGGCGCGAAGAUGAGCGUCAUUGGAAUGAGCCAGACCCCUAAUGCAAGUAUCAACAUAGCUGUCUUCUGUGAGUAGAGCUCUAAAUAUCUGCGGGUUUGGCUUCCUUCACCGGACAGCUAUCUGGAUAGUGUUCUCCCCAUGGUUGCUUGCAUAUAUAAGCUUCAUUGGAAGACCUUGCCUUGCCUUGCGUGCAAUGUGCAUGUCAAAUUAUUGGUUAUCUGUUUAUCAGCACACUUGUCCAAUGCCUUACCUUUGACAUUUCGUAAAACUAAGCACUGCAGAUUUUAAAAUAAAAGGCUAGAGUGUAGGGCAACGGUGUGGUAGUACUUUGCACAGUGUGCAUGAUGUGCUACUGGAAUAAAACAAGUCUGUUUAGUGAUGAUGCGCGAUGCAAGUUGUCAUUUUAGCCUACGUCAGGAUCGCGUGCUGCUGGUUUCUCACCCUAUUAGGUUUGGUUUAUGUACUCUAGUGUUUACCCCAAUUUUUUUUGCAUGUAUUGAGCUAGAUUAGAGUGUUUACCAUAAUUUUUUACAUGUAUUGAGCUGGAUAAGAGUGUAAACCAAUCCAUUUCAACACAUGUGGAUUGAGAUGAA